UGCAGUGUCGCAGUGAUUUAAAGUUUUUAAGAAUUGAAGUUUAGGUAUUAAUGUUAAUAUUGUAUUGUGUUCUUUAUUUAUUCAUUGUAAUCUUUUAUUUGCAGGUGGUGUGUUGGAGCGAUGGGCCGGAAGAAGCGUAAGGAAGAUAACAUGCUGAGACAACGAGCAGCGAGUGGACAGAACACCGUAGUAAUUGGCGGCCGUGGCGCGUGGGCCUGCUGAUGCAAAUUGAUAGUACUUGUUAUUUGUUUAAGCAAAUAAAUGAAUGACUAGGAAUUGACAAGUUGUGAUCACACUUAGGGAACGAGGGAGCGUGCAGUAGGUGCAGACACAGAGUAGUUGAAACAGCGGUUCUGUGAAGGCGUUGGGGAUUAGUUUUGGUUUUCAGGUGUGAGUGCAGUACGCAGUGGCAAUUUGUACGGGAUCAAGCGGACGCACCACUCCCCGCCCGUCCUAUCAUUGCAUAACAUUCAAUACAGGCAAGACAGACGGAAAACAGGGCGUCCAGUUGGACGCGGAGCAGUGCUGUUAUUGAUUGGUGAUUGGCAGGUGAGU